UACGUAGGGUGCGAGCGUUGUCCGGAAUUAUUGGGCGUAAAGGGCUCGUAGGCGGUCUGUCACGUCGGGAGUGAAAACACGGGGCUUAACCCCGUGCCUGCUUCCGAUACGGGCAGACUAGAGGUAUGCAGGGGAGAACGGAAUUCCUGGUGUAGCGGUGAAGUGCGCAGAUAUCAGGAGGAACACCAGAGGCGAAGGCGGCGACCUGGACAAGUACUGACACUCAACUGCGAAAGCGUGGGGAGCAAACAGG
rnacentral:rRNA from 1 species